rnacentral:lncRNA from 1 species
UGAUCUCAGGAUCCUGGAAUCGAGUCCCGUAUAGGGCUCUCUGCUCGGNNNNNNNNNNNNNNNNNNNNGCCGGCUCCUGGGGUCCCCCAGGAGGGGGUCCCCCAGGCCGCCAAGGCCGGUGUUGCCCGUUCCCCGGGGACACAGCCCUGGCAGAGGCAGUGCGGGCCGCAGCUCGAGGGGACUCACAUUCCCACGAUUAUGGCCUCGAAGUGGCAGAAUUAGUUAAGCCAGCUCACUCCUCUAUCGAAUAAUCUUGAUUCCCAAGGAAAAUGGAAAAAAUGCUUUUCAGAAUAUCGUCAUUGUGGUUUUGUUUUACAAGCGCUGUUUGUAAUUGCUUAGCACAUUCUCUGUUGUCCUUCCUGGGGCUACACCAUCCCCGUGGCCCCAGGUCGUGCACGCACACAGACACGGACACUCCUGGCUCAGAGGCCGGGGCCUUGCGGCACAGACCACCGACGGAUUUACCCUGCCUCGCACCCCCGCGUGCCUGGCGGAGCUGCCAAAGCCAACGCCGUACGCUCGCAGCGAAGGGGACUGUUUCCCCGCAGCUGAGCCUCUGCUGUCACCACAGGGACGGCGAGAACGGCCUGGAAAACAGGCCAGGAGCCCAGAGGACCCUGCAGGGCCCAGCGACAUCUGUGACGGGAUGGAGGCGGCCGGCAGAGGCUUUCCCGAAACACACAGCAAAUAGGAGAUCUAAGUCAACCCAGACGGGAUGAGGCCACACGUGGACAGCACAGGUGCGUGUGUGUGUGGGGGCAGACAUCUGGGUCCCGAGAGGGACCCCGCUCCGCUGACGUGGGCCGCUUGGCCAGGCUGCCCUGCCCCUCCCGUGGCUGGCAGGUGUUACUAUCGAGAACGUUUGGAGAUGCCGUCCCUGGGCAUGCUCACUGGACGCUUCCACACGU